GACGAACGCUGGCGGCGUGCUUAACACAUGCAAGUCGAGCGGUAAGGCCCUUUCGGGGGUACACGAGCGGCGAACGGGUGAGUAACACGUGGGUGACCUGCCCUCAGCUCUGGGAUAAGCCUGGGAAACCGGGUCUAAUACUGGAUAUGACUCCAUGACGCAUGUUGUGGGGUGGAAAGCCUUGUGCGGCUGAGGAUGGGCCCGCGGCCUAUCAGCUUGUUGGUGGGGUGAUGGCCUACCAAGGCGACGACGGGUAGCCGGCCUGAGAGGGCGACCGGCCACACUGGGACUGAGACACGGCCCAGACUCCUACGGGAGGCAGCAGUGGGGAAUCUUGCGCAAUGGGCGAAAG
rnacentral:rRNA from 1 species